ACGUGGGUGAUCUGCCCUGCACUCUGGGAUAAGCCUGGGAAACUGGGUCUAAUACCGGAUAGGACCAUGCUUUAGUGUGUGUGGUGGAAAGUUUUUAGGUGUAGGAUGAGCCCGCGGCCUAUCAGCUUGUUGGUGGGGUAAUGGCCUACCAAGGCGGCGACGGGUAGCCGGACUGAGAGGUUGGUCGGCCACAUUGGGACUGAGAUACGGCCCAG
rnacentral:rRNA from 1 species